rnacentral:rRNA from 1 species
AGAGUUUGAUCCUGGCUCAGGAUGAACGCUGGCGGCGUGCUUAACACAUGCAAGUCGAACGGGAAACAUUUUAUUGAAACUUCGGUCGAUUUAAUUUAUUUCUAGUGGCGGACGGGUGAGUAACGCGUGGGUAACCUGCCUUAUACUGGGGGAUAACAGCCAGAAAUGACUGCUAAUACCGCAUAAGCGCACAGAACCGCAUGGUUCGGUGUGAAAAACUCCGGUGGUAUAAGAUGGACCCGCGUUGGAUUAGCUAGUUGGCAGGGCAGCGGCCUACCAAGGCGACGAUCCAUAGCCGGCCUGAGAGGGUGAACGGCCACAUUGGGACUGAGACACGGCCCAGACUCCUACGGGAGGCAGCAGUGGGGAAUAUUGCACAAUGGGGGAAACCUUGAUGCAGCGACGCCGCGUGAAGGAAGAAGUAUCUCGGUAUGUAAACUUCUAUCAGCAGGGAAGAUAAUGACGGUACCUGACUAAGAAGCCCCGGCUAACUACGUGCCAGCAGCCGCGGU